rnacentral:rRNA from 1 species
GUCAGCAGCUAUACCACCCAUAGUUCCGACUAGCUAAUUUAUCUGCAGCUAAGCAGUUUUGGGCCUAGUCAGUACUUGGAUGGGAAACCAACUGUGAAAGCUGGGUCGCUGCUGCCU